GAACGCACCUUGCGCUCCUUGGUAUUCCUUGGAGCAUGCCUGUUUGAGUAUCAUGAAAUUAAUCGAGGCAAACAUUUUGUUAAUUCAAUUGACUUUGCUUCGGACUUGGGGGCCUGCGGACUUCACGGUCCGCUCCUCUUAAAUGCAUUAGCUGGAUUCUCGGUGAGCUCGGUUCCACUCGGCGUGAUAAGUAUCACUCGCCGAGGACACCCGUUAAAAAAAGGUGGCCAGGCCCGCGGAUUGAACCGCUUCCAACCGGUCUUAUUGAUUUAGACUAUGAAUUUUAAGAUCUGAUCUCAAAUCAGGUAGGACUACCCGCUGAACUUAAG
rnacentral:misc_RNA from 1 species